rnacentral:rRNA from 1 species
UCUUCGGAUGAAGAAGACUGUGACUGAGUGGCGGACGGGUGAGUAACGCGUGGGCAACCUGCCCUGUACAGGGGGAUAACAGUUAGAAAUGACUGCUAAUACCGCGUAAGCGCACGAGGACGCAUGUUCUUGUGUGAAAAACUCCGGUGGUACAGGAUGGGCCCGCGUCUGAUUAGGUAGUUGGUGGGGCAGCGGCCUACCAAGCCGACGAUCAGUAGCCGACCUGAGAGGGUGACCGGCCACAUUGGGACUGAGACACGGCCCAAACUCCUACGGGAGGCAGCAGUGGGGAAUAUUGCACAAUGGGGGAAACCCUGAUGCAGCGACGCCGCGUGAAGGAAGAAGUAUUUCGGUAUGUAAACUUCUAUCAGCAGGGAAGAAACUGACGGUACCUGACUAAGAAGCACCGGCUAAAUACGUGCCAGCAGCCGCGGUAAUACGUAUGGUGCAAGCGUUAUCCGGAUUUACUGGGUGUAAAGGGAGCGUAGACGGAGAGGCAAGUCUGAAGUGAAAGCCCGGGGCUCAACCCCGGGACUGCUUUGGAAACUGCAGUUCUAGAGUGCCGGAGAGGUAAGCGGAAUUCCUAGUGUAGCGGUGAAAUGCGUAGAUAUUAGGAGGAACACCAGUGGCGAAGGCGGCUUACUGGA